rnacentral:tRNA from 1 species
GGGCGGAUGGCGGAACUGGCAUACGCGAUAGCCUUAGGAGCUAUUGGGGAAACCCUUGGAGGUUCAACUCCUCUUCCGCCCA